UAAGGAUAGCAUGUGGGAAAUGCAGGAAAGACAGCAGAUGAUCUGUGUUAAGAUGAGAUCUGUUUGCCACUACCACCUAGCUCAUCACGUCCAUGUUGGAGGAUAGAGUUUGAGUAAGAAGAGCCUAUCUAUAUCUGUAAAUGAAUGAUAUCAUUAUUUUGGGAAAUGAAAGUUUAAGCUCUGUAAAACAUACAAUCCCAUGGAGAUCUCAGCAGAGGAACUUGUACGUGCAGGUGUUUAAUGUGAUAAGGAGAAAUGCGGAGAGAUUAAAAAAAAAUACUUGGAGUCAACCAAAGAAUCCAAGCAACAUUACUGCUGUAAAAGAAAGCACUGCAUUUCUGUCUAAGCAACUAGCUAGCUUGCUUGUUUUCAUUUUUUGUAACAACUCUUUUUCUUCUAGUCAUGACUGUUAAGAAAAAUGACUAAUAAUUCUUAUGUUAAAUGAAAGGUUGUUGUUCCAAAUACAUUAUCCGAGAGAUCUCAUCAAUUGCUGUAAAGGAAUUCUGCUGAAAACAUACUCCAAUAGUUCAAAUAAACUGUAACUAAGCAGAAAGGAAAGGGAAAAU
rnacentral:lncRNA from 1 species